AACUAACGCUGGCGGCGUGCCUAACACAUGCAAGUCGUACGAGAAAGUCGGCUUCGGCUGAUGAGUAAAGUGGCGCACGGGUGAGUAACGCGUGGAUAAUCUGCCCUUGAGUGUGGAAUAACGUACCGAAAGGUGCGCUAAUACCGCAUAAUGCCUGGCAACACAAGUUGUCCGGCCAAAGAAGGCCUCUGUUUACAAGCUUUUGCUCAAGGAUGAGUCCGCGUACCAUUAGCUAGUUGGUGGGGUAACGGCCUACCAAGGCUACGAUGGUUAGCUGGUCUGAGAGGAUGAUCAGCCACACUGGAACUGAGACACGGUCCAGACUCCUACGGGAGGCAGCAGUGAGGAAUAUUGCGCAAUGGGGAAACCCUGACGCAGCGACGCCGCGUGAGCGAAGAAGGCCUUCGGGUCGUAAAGCUCAGUUAUUGGGGAUGAAAGGACAGUACCCAAAGAGAAAGCCCCGGCUAACUACGUGCCAGCAGCCGCGGUAAAGU
rnacentral:rRNA from 1 species